AGCGAACGCUGGCGGCAGGCCUAACACAUGCAAGUCGAACGAACUCUUCGGAGUUAGUGGCGGACGGGUGAGUAACACGUGGGAACGUGCCUUUAGGUUCGGAAUAACUCAGGGAAACUUGUGCUAAUACCGAAUGUGCCCUUCGGGGGAAAGAUUUAUCGCCUUUAGAGCGGCCCGCGUCUGAUUAGCUAGUUGGUGAGGUAAAGGCUCACCAAGGCGACGAUCAGUAGCUGGUCUGAGAGGAUGAUCAGCCACAUUGGGACUGAGACACGGCCCAAACUCCUACGGGAGGCAGCAGUGGGGAAUCUUGCGCAAUGGGCGAAAGCCUGACGCAGCCAUGCCGCGUGAAUGAUGAAGGUCUUAGGAUUGUAAAAUUCUUUCACCGGGGACGAUAAUGACGGUACCCGGAGAAGAAGCCCCGGCUAACUUCGUGCCAGCCGCCGCCGUAA
rnacentral:rRNA from 1 species